AUGGUGGGUAGGUCGAGCUCAGGGUGGGGACACGGUGAUGGUGAAGGAGAGGUCGCCGGCGGCUGUGCCUUGAAGGGGACGGCGCACCCAGAUGACAGGGGGCUAAGGAUUACAGGGAGAGGGAAGCUGCCGCCGUGUGAUCUUGCUGCCACCAGGAUGUAUCUGUUCCUCUCUCAGUGUCUCCCGGUCUCUCUCCUAUGUGCGGACGAGUUUUACCAGAGGCAACAUCCCCGCUCGUUUUUCCACGAUGUUGGUCACGAGUCUGCUUUCCCACAUAUUGGCUGGCGCAGUGCUGGUGCCUGGUCACGGACCCUAGCUAGCGACGGCAGAUCUCGAUGGAAGAGACGACGGUGGCCUUGCUCCCGGCGGACGUGCUGCUCGAGAUCUUCUUCCACGUCAAGGACGACCCGGCCGGCCGCCCUCUUCCGCUCCGCCACGACGUGCAGGCAGUGGCUCCGCCUCAUCGUCGACCCCUCCUUCCUCCGCCGCUGCUGGCCGCCGGAGAACGCGCCCUGCUGCGCCUUGGUCGGCUUCUUCACCCAGGAGGAGCGUCUUGCCCCCAAUGGAGUAGCUACCUUCAAGACGCCAUGCUUCGUCCCGGCGCCACGGUCCGCCAUGGCUAGCCUCGGUCGCCGCGCCCUCAGCUCCUUGGUCCCAUCCGCCCCCGCCGGCCUCUUCGACCGCGCGGUGCCGGUCGCCGCACGCCACGGCCUCCUCCUCAUGCGCCUCACCCGCCCCGAGGACCCGAACCGGGCCGUCGUCCACCUCGCGGUGUGCGAUCCGCUCUCCGGCGCGUACCAUCUGCUUCCGCCCGUGGAGUGGUGCUCGGCCUCCGCCGGCUACAACGGAUACGCCAUCCUAACCGGUGCAGACUGCCGCCCCCGACGGCCACCGAUGUCGGGCUUCAAGGUGCUAAUGGUUGACUUUAACUACAAUCGUUACACCUUCUCGUCGGAAGAAGCGAGCUGGACCCGUGUGCCUCACCUGUGCCUCGGUGAUGCCUGCGCCAGGGCACACACGGUGUUUCCUCGUAACGAAGCCGUCGUGUACCACGGAGCGGCGCACUGGCGCAGAGGAUUGUCCAGAAUAAUGGACUUCAGCACCGAGACAUUGUCCACAAUCGACAUGAACGUCGAGACCGGCCACCUCUCCCGGACGGAGCUCCCAAUCCCAGGGCAGAACACAACCAGACGAUCUUAUGCUAAGCUAUGCCUUAGCACCGCUAUCAUUGACGACGACGACGAAGCACCAUCUUUGCUCUGGAUGCGGCAAGGAAGCCUCGAGGUAGAGAUCUGGGAACAACACGGCGAGGAAGGCGGCGUCGAUGAUGAUACUUUAGCAUGGCAAUGUGCUCGGGUGGUCGAGAUAAAGCAACCGAAAGAUAUGACGGAGGCUCAAGUAAUGACGCUACACGUGCUAGCAGAGAAAUGUGGCACGUUGCUCGUAAACGAAGGUAAUCGAAGUUUUUACGUUGCUGACCUCAAAACCGGGACAGUGGAGGAGAUCAGGGGCUGGCCUCGAUACUGGAGGAAGAUCGUGCCUUUUGAGAUGGAUUGGCCAUCAAUCUUCAUUCAUCGACUUGGCGAUCGCUAA
rnacentral:rRNA from 1 species